GCGGAUGUGGCGAAAUUGGCAGACGCACCAGACUUAGGAUCUGGCGGGAAACCAUGGGGGUUCAAGUCCUCUCAUCCGCACCA
rnacentral:tRNA from 1 species